rnacentral:rRNA from 1 species
AACGCGAAGAACCUUACCUGGGCUCGAAAUGCUAUGGACCAGCUGGUGAAAGCCGGCCUUCCCGCAAGGGACUGUAGUAUAGGUGCUGCAUGGCUGUCGUCAGCUCGUGUCGUGAGAUGUUGGGUUAAGUCCCGCAACGAGCGCAACCCUUGUCCUGUGUUGCCAUCAUUCAGUUGGGAACUCGCAGGAGACCGCCAGGGAUAACCUGGAGGAAGGUGGGGAUGACGUCAAGUCCUCAUGGCCUUUAUGUCCAGGGCUACACACGUGCUACAAUGGACGGUACAAAGGGCUGCCAACCCGCAAGGGGGAGCCAAUCCCAAAAAACCGUUCUCAGUUCGGAUUGCAGGCUGCAACUCGCCUGCAUGAAGCUGGAAUCGCUAGUAAUGGUGGAUCAGAACGCCACCGUGAAUACGUUCCCGGGCCUUGUA